CUUUGAACUUAGGAUCAAUAAGAGAAAUGCGCAUGUGCUCAGACAUCUCGUUAAUGGGGAUCAGCUCGCCAGUAAUUGGUGAUAUAACAACUUUAGUUGGAUCUCUCUCUGUCGGGAUCCUGUCUUCUGGCCUCUUCCAGUUCUUAACAAUUCUCAUAGGUGCUUCUUCAUCGUGUAGAUUUUCAAUCUUAACAAUCUCUUCUAGGUUUGCUGCUCUCAUUCCUUCUGCAACAAGCUUAACUUCUUCUUCAUCCAUUUCCAUUUCCAUUUCAACCUCCUUUCCAGGCUCAACAAUAUCAUCUUCUUCCAUUGCUGAUACUUUGCUCCUCCUAAUAACCUCGUUAAGUGUCAUAGGCGGUGGCAACUCUUCAUCUUCCUCAUCC